GACGAACGCUGGCGGCGUGCCUAAUACAUGCAAGUCGAACGAACUCUGGUAUUGAUUGGUGCUUGCAUCAUGAUUUACAUUUGAGUGAGUGGCGAACUGGUGAGUAACACGUGGGAAACCUGCCCAGAAGCGGGGGAUAACACCUGGAAACAGAUGCUAAUACCGCAUAACAACUUGGACCGCAUGGUCCGAGUUUGAAAGAUGGCUUCGGCUAUCACUUUUGGAUGGUCCCGCGGCGUAUUAGCUAGAUGGUGGGGUAACGGCUCACCAUGGCAAUGAUACGUAGCCGACCUGAGAGGGUAAUCGGCCACAUUGGGACUGAGACACGGCCCAAACUCCUACGGGAGGCAGCAGUAGGGAAUCUUCCACAAUGGACGAAAGUCUGAUGGAGCAACGCCGCGUGAGUGAAGAAGGGUUUCGGCUCGUAAAACUCUGUUGUUAAAGAAGAACAUAUCUGAGAGUAACUGUUCAGGUAUUGACGGUAUUUAACCAGAAAGCCACGGCUAACUACGUGCCAGCAGCCGCGGUAAUACGUAGGUGGCAAGCGUUGUCCGGAUUUAUUGGGCGUAAAGCGAGCGCAGGCGGUUUUUUAAGUCUGAUGUGAAAGCCUUCGGCUCAACCGAAGAAGUGCAUCGGAAACUGGGAAACUUGAGUGCAGAAGAGGACAGUGGAACUCCAUGUGUAGCGGUGAAAUGCGUAGAUAUAUGGAAGAACACCAGUGGCGAAGGCGGCUGUCUGGUCUGUAACUGACGCUGAGGCUCGAAAGUAUGGGUAGCAAACAGGAUUAGAUACCCUGGUAGUCCAUACCGUAAACGAUGAAUGCUAAGUGUUGGAGGGUUUCCGCCCUUCAGUGCUGCAGCUAACGCAUUAAGCAUUCCGCCUGGGGAGUACGGCCGCAAGGCUGAAACUCAAAGGAAUUGACGGGGGCCCGCACAAGCGGUGGAGCAUGUGGUUUAAUUCGAAGCUACGCGAAGAACCUUACCAGGUCUUGACAUACUAUGCAAAUCUAAGAGAUUAGACGUUCCCUUCGGGGACAUGGAUACAGGUGGUGCAUGGUUGUCGUCAGCUCGUGUCGUGAGAUGUUGGGUUAAGUCCCGCAACGAGCGCAACCCUUAUUAUCAGUUGCCAGCAUUAAGUUGGGCACUCUGGUGAGACUGCCGGUGACAAACCGGAGGAAGGUGGGGAUGACGUCAAAUCAUCAUGCCCCUUAUGACCUGGGCUACACACGUGCUACAAUGGAUGGUACAACGAGUUGCGAACUCGCGAGAGNAAGCUAAUCUCUUAAAGCCAUUCUCAGUUCGGAUUGUAGGCUGCAACUCGCCUACAUGAAGUCGGAAUCGCUAGUAAUCGCGGAUCAGCAUGCCGCGGUGAAUACGUUCCCGGGCCUUGUACACACCGCCCGUCACACCAUGAGAGUUUGUAACACCCAAAGUCGGUGGGGUAACCUUUUAGGAACCAGCCGCCUAAGGUGGGACAGAUGAUUAGGGUGAAG
rnacentral:rRNA from 1 species